GGUUAAGCGACUAAGCGUACACGGUGGAUGCCCUGGCAGUCAGAGGCGAUGAAGGGCGUGCUAAUCUGCGAUAAGCGCCGGUAAGGUGAUAUGAACCGUUAUAACCGGCGAUACCCGAAUGGGGAAACCCAGUGUGAUUCGUCACACUAUCAUUACGUGAAUACAUAGCGUAAUGAAGCGAACCGGGGGAACUGAAACAUCUAAGUACCCCGAGGAAAAGAAAUCAACCGAGAUUCCCCCAGUAGCGGCGAGCGAACGGGGAGGAGCCCAGAGCCUGAAUCAGCAUGUGUGUUAGUGGAAGCGUCUGGAAAGGCGCGCGAUACAGGGUGACAGCCCCGUACACAAAAGCGCAUGUGUUGUGAGCUCGAUGAGUAGGGCGGGACACGUGGUAUCCUGUCUGAAUAUGGGGGGACCAUCCUCCAAGGCUAAAUACUCCUGACUGACCGAUAGUGAACCAGUACCGUGAGGGAAAGGCGAAAAGAACCCCGGCGAGGGGAGUGAAAAAGAACCUGAAACCGUGUACGUACAAGCAGUGGGAGCACCCUUUGGGGUGUGACUGCGUACCUUUUGUAUAAUGGGUCAGCGACUUAUAUUCUGUAGCAAGGUUAACCGAAUAGGGGAGCCGGAGGGAAACCGAGUCUUAAUUGGGCGUUAAGUUGCAGGGUAUAGACCCGAAACCCGGUGAUCUAGCCAUGGGCAGGUUGAAGGUUGGGUAACACUAACUGGAGGACCGAACCGACUAAUGUUGAAAAAUUAGCGGAUGACCUGUGGCUGGGGGUGAAAGGCCAAUCAAACCGGGAGAUAGCUGGUUCUCCCCGAAAGCUAUUUAGGUAGCGCCUCGUGAAUUCAUCUCCGGGGGUAGAGCACUGUUUCGGCUAGGGGGCCAUCCCGGCUUACCAACCCGAUGCAAACUGCGAAUACCGGAGAAUGUUAUCACGGGAGACACACGGCGGGUGCUAACGUCCGUCGUGAAGAGGGAAACAACCCAGACCGCCAGCUAAGGUCCCAAAGUCAUGGUUAAGUGGGAAACGAUGUGGGAAGGCCCAGACAGCCAGGAUGUUGGCUUAGAAGCAGCCAUCAUUUAAAGAAAGCGUAAUAGCUCACUGGUCGAGUCGGCCUGCGCGGAAGAUGUAACGGGGCUAAACCAUGCACCGAAGCUGCGGCAGCGACACUGUGUGUUGUUGGGUAGGGGAGCGUUCUGUAAGCCUGUGAAGGUGUGUCGUGAGGCAUGCUGGAGGUAUCAGAAGUGCGAAUGCUGACAUAAGUAACGAUAAAGCGGGUGAAAAGCCCGCUCGCCGGAAGACCAAGGGUUCCUGUCCAACGUUAAUCGGGGCAGGGUGAGUCGACCCCUAAGGCGAGGCCGAAAGGCGUAGUCGAUGGGAAACGGGUUAAUAUUCCCGUACUUGGUGUUACUGCGAAGGGGGGACGGAGAAGGCUAUGUUGGCCGGGCGACGGUUGUCCCGGUUUAAGCGUGUAGGUGUGUGUUCCAGGUAAAUCCGGUUCACUUUAACACUGAGGCGUGACGACGAGGCACUACGGUGCUGAAGCAACAAAUGCCCUGCUUCCAGGAAAAGCCUCUAAGCAUCAGGUAACAUCAAAUCGUACCCCAAACCGACACAGGUGGUCAGGUAGAGAAUACCAAGGCGCUUGAGAGAACUCGGGUGAAGGAACUAGGCAAAAUGGUGCCGUAACUUCGGGAGAAGGCACGCUGACACGUAGGUGAAGUGAUUUACUCAUGGAGCUGAAGUCAGUCGAAGAUACCAGCUGGCUGCAACUGUUUAUUAAAAACACAGCACUGUGCAAACACGAAAGUGGACGUAUACGGUGUGACGCCUGCCCGGUGCCGGAAGGUUAAUUGAUGGGGUCAGCGCAAGCGAAGCUCCUGAUCGAAGCCCCGGUAAACGGCGGCCGUAACUAUAACGGUCCUAAGGUAGCGAAAUUCCUUGUCGGGUAAGUUCCGACCUGCACGAAUGGCGUAAUGAUGGCCAGGCUGUCUCCACCCGAGACUCAGUGAAAUUGAACUCGCUGUGAAGAUGCAGUGUACCCGCGGCAAGACGGAAAGACCCCGUGAACCUUUACUAUAGCUUGACACUGAACAUUGAGCCUUGAUGUGUAGGAUAGGUGGGAGGCUUUGAAGUGUGGACGCCAGUCUGCAUGGAGCCGACCUUGAAAUACCACCCUUUAAUGUUUGAUGUUCUAACGUGGACCCGUGAUCCGGGUUGCGGACAGUGUCUGGUGGGUAGUUUGACUGGGGCGGUCUCCUCCUAAAGAGUAACGGAGGAGCACGAAGGUUGGCUAAUCCUGGUCGGACAUCAGGAGGUUAGUGCAAUGGCAUAAGCCAGCUUGACUGCGAGCGUGACGGCGCGAGCAGGUGCGAAAGCAGGUCAUAGUGAUCCGGUGGUUCUGAAUGGAAGGGCCAUCGCUCAACGGAUAAAAGGUACUCCGGGGAUAACAGGCUGAUACCGCCCAAGAGUUCAUAUCGACGGCGGUGUUUGGCACCUCGAUGUCGGCUCAUCACAUCCUGGGGCUGAAGUAGGUCCCAAGGGUAUGGCUGUUCGCCAUUUAAAGUGGUACGCGAGCUGGGUUUAGAACGUCGUGAGACAGUUCGGUCCCUAUCUGCCGUGGGCGCUGGAGAACUGAGGGGGGCUGCUCCUAGUACGAGAGGACCGGAGUGGACGCAUCACUGGUGUUCGGGUUGUCAUGCCAAUGGCACUGCCCGGUAGCUAAAUGCGGAAGAGAUAAGUGCUGAAAGCAUCUAAGCACGAAACUUGCCCCGAGAUGAGUUCUCCCUGAGACUUAGAGUCUCCUGAAGGAACGUUGAAGACGACGACGUUGAUAGGCCGGGUGUGUAAGCGCAGCGAUGCGUUGAGCUAACCGGUACUAAUGAACCGUGAGGCUUAACCUU
rnacentral:rRNA from 1 species